UCCUUCGACGUUAGCGGCGGACGGGUGAGUAACACGUGGGCAACCUACCUUAUAGUUUGGGAUAACUCCGGGAAACCGGGGCUAAUACCGAAUAAUCUGUUUCACCUCAUGGUGAAACACUGAAAGACGGUUUCGGCUGUCGCUAUAGGAUGGGCCCGCGGCGCAUUAGCUAGUUGGUGAGGUAACGGCUCACCAAGGCGACGAUGCGUAGCCGACCUGAGAGGGUGAUCGGCCACACUGGGACUGAGACACGGCCCAGACUCCUACGGGAGGCAGCAGUAGGGAAUCUUCCACAAUGGGCGAAAGCCUGAUGGAGCAACGCCGCGUGAGUGAAGAAGGAUUUCGGUUCGUAAAACUCUGUUGUAAGGGAAGAACAAGUACAGUAGUAACUGGCUGUACCUUGACGGUACCUUAUUAGAAAGCCACGGCUAACUACGUGCCAGCAGCCGCGGUAAUACGUAGGUGGCAAGCGUUGUCCGGAAUUAUUGGGCGUAAAGCGCGCGCAGGUGGUUUCUUAAGUCUGAUGUGAAAGCCCACGGCUCAACCGUGGAGGGUCAUUGGAAACUGGGAGACUUGAGUGCAGAAGAGGAUAGUGGAAUU
rnacentral:rRNA from 1 species